AACUUUUGACAAUGGAUCACUUGGCUCUCGCAUCGAUGAAGAACGCAGCAAAAUGCGAUACGUAAUGUGAAUUGCAGAAUUCAGUGAAUCAUCGAAACUUUGAACGCACCUUGCGCCCCUUGGCAUUCCGAGGGGCACACCCGUUUGAGUGUCGUGAAAUUCUCAAACCUUCUUGGUUUCUUGAUCAAGAUGGCUCUGGACUUUGGAGGCAUUUUGCUGGCUUUGCAAAAAGCCAGCUCCUCUUAAAUACAUUAGUGGGAUCCCCUUUGCCAAUCCCCAGGCAUGAUAAGAUAUUUCUACGUCUUGGGAUUUGCUCUGUUCCUUGGGAACCCGCUUCCAACCGUCUCAUGGGAGACAUCAUUCGAGUUUGCUCGACCCACGAACCUUGACCUCAAAUCGGGUGAGACUACCCGCUGAACUUAAGCAUAUCAAUAAGCGGAGGCU
rnacentral:misc_RNA from 1 species